rnacentral:tRNA from 1 species
GAGGAUUUAGUUUAAAUAAAACUUAGAAUUGUCAAAUCUAGAAUAUUAUUAAUUAAUAUUCCUUA